UAUAUAUACAAAAUAAAAUAAUAUAAAAGAUUUCCGGAGCAGUCCUCGUAUUUACUUGGGGAGUACUGCCAUCUGCCGGUAGUUAUCUGGCCCCAGCGUGUCAGCUGGUUUGCUGUCAAUGCCGUUUUCGUGUCGGACUGUAGGUUAAUUUCCACGUGCAGUGCUGUCUAGAAUGUAACAAAUUAAUUGAUGCGGGAUUGAGGGCUGCGCCACCCGAACGAGGUAACCAACAGAACCUGCGGGCCCCUUAUGGUUAACGUAGGCCGGAGCACUGUGCCCCAGGUUCAGGCAGGACGGGGCGACGGGAAGAUACUACGGAGGUGUACUUCGUAUAAAACCAGGAGUCACGCUCUGAUUUCGUUUUGAAGACACGGACAGGUAGGAACGUAUGGAGAGUAGCUGGUAAUCUUGCGGAAUACUUGUUGUGGAACUGGUCAGAGUAAUAAAGGGCUAACGGCAACACACUCAACACAGGGAACGACAGGGGUGCAGGUUAACAAAGGUUUUACAGGUACUGGAACGACGGUUAAGGGUACAAAUUAUAUAGGAAUAAAUCACAGGUAAAUAAGGCUGGUUAAUAGCAAAAGGCACUGGUAAAGAUAGAAGCAAA